rnacentral:misc_RNA from 1 species
CUGAACGCAAAUUAAUACGGCUUGGCCUCAACAUGGCUGUAACAGUCUUGAACACGAAAAGUUUGCUAAAUGGAUUUUUAAAAAUUUCGUUGCCACAUUUACGACUUUGUCCGGCAUCAUACAAUUUUAGUACUAGUUCAAGAAGGAAGAAUGCAAAGUUUUACGAUGAUAUUGAUGAGGUUACGAAAGACAUACAUAGUGGUGCCAAGGUGCUAGUUGGAGGUUUUGGUUUGUGCGGAAUGCCUGAGCAUCUGCUGGCUAGUCUGCUGAGAUCUAAAGUGAAUGAUUUAACCCUAGUGAGCAGCAAUGCAGGAGUUGAUAACUCAGGGCUUGGUCUCUUGAUGGAACACAAACAGGUUAAACGAAUGAUUGCAUCCUUUAUUGGUGAAAAUCAUGUUUGUGAACAUCUGUAUCUGUCCGGUGAUCUGGAGCUUGAAUUAACACCACAGGGAACUUUGGCAGAGAGAAUCAGGGCUGGUGGUUUUGGUAUUCCAGCAUUCUUCACUCCAACAGGUGUUGGUACGCUAGUUCACAAGGGGAGGUCACCAAUCAAGUUCAAUCCGGAUGGCAGCAUUGCUAUAUCGAGUGAGCCCCGUCCGACCCAUACAUUUGAUGGACGUACAUUCAUAAUGGAGAAAGCCAUUACAGGAGACUUUGCAUUAAUCAAAGCUUGGAAAGCUGACAAAGCCGGCAAUUUAACUUUCAGACGGACAGCAAGGAAUUUCAACCCACCCAUGUGUAAAGCGGGUAAAAUCACCAUCGCAGAAGUUGAUGAAAUAGUCGAGGUCGGGGAGAUAGCUGGAGAGGAUGUUCAUGUUCCACAUAUUUUUGUACAACGUGUUGUUAAAGUACCUGUCAUCUCAAAAAGAAUAGAGAGGUUAACACUAAGGCAGGAACAUGAUAAGAAUGCACCUAUGGAUGCUGCUGCACAAAGGCGAGAAAAGAUCAUCAGACGAGCAGCUUUAGAGUUCCAUGAUGGAAUGUAUGUAAAUCUUGGCAUUGGAAUUCCCGUCUUGGCCAGUAAUUACAUCCCUCCAGGGAUCAACGUUACCCUUCAUGGUGAAAAUGGCAUACUUGGAUUGGGUCCAUUUCCAAAACCAGGAGAGGAGGAUGCAGAUCUGAUCAAUGCGGGUAAACAAACUGUGACAGCUAUUCCAGGAAGCUCUUACUUUUCUAGUGACGAAUCAUUUGGAAUGGUGAGAGGGGGUCACAUGCAUAUCACAAUUCUAGGUGCUAUGCAGGUGUCUCAAUACGGAGAUCUUGCUAACUACAUGAUUCCCGAUGGCUUUCUGAAUGUUUCAUGUUUGACAUUGGUGUUCACCGAGUAAUAAGACUUAAAACUGCACACCCCAUUGUCAACUAUUGUGACCCAACUAGGGCAAGGUAGAUCUUUGGGUAAGAUGGUGAAGGGAAUGGGAGGUGCCAUGGAUUUGGUAUCCUGUCACAAAACAAAGGUGAUUGUCACCAUGGAACAUUUAACAAAGACAGGGAAACCCAAAAUUAUGAGCCACUGUACCCUCCCCUUGACUGGAU